AUGGCUCAACUGAGUUAGGAAAAAGGCAGGGCCAAAUUGUUUGCAUGAUCUGCAAAGGAGAAUACAGGGCAUGCUCUGUUAGCCAUACAGAUGAAAGAGGAAACCUCACUAAAUCUACUCAUUCUUCAAAACAUAUUAGAAGCAGAGAAACAGAGAGAAGAGUGAGAAAGAGAAUCAGUCGAUUUAGUCCCCAUCACUAGUAGGUCAUAAGUUACAAUAUAAGAAACUAAGAAAUACCUUGCGAACUGUUUUCACAGAUAAACCUUUGCUCACCAGUGUAUCAGCAAUCCACCUCCAAAAUUUGCAGAAAAUGCCAUUGUAAGCCAAGGCAAAACACAGAAAAGCCCAGAUUCUGUAAGAUUGAACUUCAAGACUCAUAUGGCCAUACAGGAAAAAAUUAGAAAAUAAGAAAUCAGGAUCCACAGUGUAGAGAAAAAGUUGCAUCUGUAAAUACUAAGAUUGCAAAGUGCACCUUCUCUUUAACAAGAUGUCACAAUAGCAUUUACUCAAAGAUGCAUCCACUGUGCUUAAAGAAUUAAAAACGAAAAAUCGGCAAGUGGAAACCAGCAGCUUUGGGAGUACUUAUGCAAUUAGCUACAAGACAAUUUAUCUGAAAAUAAAAGAACCAUACACCACUAUGCAUGCUUGUUGUUUCAUUAUCCUGUAUAUGUCACAUUAUAUGAAUAGUUUAUACUCAAAUUCCAGGGCAUAAUUUAUAGAUGAACUACUUGUUAAACAGGCUUACAAUAUUGAAGCAUAUGUUAUGGUGGAAAAGAACAUUUACUUGGUUAUAAUAUGUUGGCA
rnacentral:misc_RNA from 1 species